GUCGCGGCGCUCAGAAGUCUCUCCCCCCCGCCCACCCAGGCGGCGUCUUCCCCGCCGCCGUCGCUCUGGCCGGGCGGGUGGGACCUGCGGGUGCGCCCUAGCGACAGGCUCCAACCCCGAGCGCGGACAGAGCCGCGAAACCCGCCCCCCGCCGCUCCCCAGACGCCCGCAGUUCUAGAACGCGGAGGAGAUUCGGACAGAGGCCGGGAAGGUGCAGGGAGCCGGCCUGGGAGGAGGCAAGUCUCGCGAGAAUCCCUCGCAUUCCCCGCUCCGCCCCCGCCGCGCCGCGACUCACCACUCGACCCCCAGGCUGCUGCCAGGUCAUGACCCCUAUUCCCAUAAAUACCACAUUCUAAUGUGGCUCAUAAACACAUCUCCUCCAUCUCCUCAGCAGUCCACACUUCCUCACACAGCAUUUGCCUUGAAACCUCUUCAAUCAAAAAGAUGGUGGCCUGGAGUGGCCUAGGGUGCUAACUUCAGUGAAAUGACUUCCAACUGAAUACGGACAAUGAGAGGAGGCGCUGGUGGAAGACUGGAAGGCACAGAAGGGAAAGUAAUGGCUUCUUGAAGAGGCAUAUUCCCUGGAACAGGUUUUGGAUGGGGCCCUUGCAAGUAAUUGAGUUUCAGAGAAAAGAGGAUCUGACAUUACUGGCAUAUCUCCCCCGAGCUUGCUUACAUGAGUAUAGUUCCACAGGGAAUUGAAACAGUGCCAUAUUUCAGCCUAAGUGAAGUAGAGAAGAGACAGACAAGGCAAGGCGGCUGAUGAACUGUUUCCUUCCUCUGAUUCAGUGUAAAGCAAUUGGAUAUCUACCAAAAGUCACCAUGCCCCAAUUUUUAAAACUAUAAUUUUCUCCUUUUAUUUAUCACCAGUAUUUUAUUUAUUUAUUUAUUUGCAGAUUAUCUGUCUUUCCCUUAGAACAUUUUCACAGGGAUACAAUCAACAAGGUAAAAACUAAUUCUCAGGCAAAAAAAAAAAACAAAAACUUAAUAUCUACCAUGUAAAGCUUGUAUAUAGCCAUCAUACACACACAGAUAGAGAAUGUAUCUAUGGUAGUAAGUUUUCAUAAUUGGGGCUAUUCAGAGAAAAAAUCUAACAUGUUUCCUUAGAGAACAAUAAUAAAAAGGGAGAGAAGAGCUAUCCCAAGGGGUAAGCUUCAGAAGCUAGACCAGCAGAAUCCUUAGAAGUUGU